rnacentral:rRNA from 1 species
CAGCCGCCGCGGGAAUACGUAGGUGGCAAGCGUCGUCCGGAAUUAUUGGGCGUAAAGGGCUCGCAGGCGGUUUCUUAAGUCUGAUGUGAAAGCCCCCGGCUCAACCGGGGAGGGUCAUUGGAAACUGGGAAACUUGAGUGCAGAAGAGGAGAGUGGAAUUCCACGUGUAGCGGUGAAAUGCGUAGAGAUGUGGAGGAACACCAGUGGCGAAGGCGACUCUCUGGUCUGUAACUGACGCUGAGGAGCGAAAGCGUGGGGAGCGAACAGGAUUAGAGACCCCAGUAGUCCCUGUCUCUUAUAC